rnacentral:rRNA from 1 species
UUCCGGUUGAUCCUGCCGGAGGUUACUGCUAUCGGAGUUCGAUUAAGCCAUGCGAGUCUAAAGGUUUCUUCGGAAACCUUGGCGGACUGCUCAGUAACACGUGGAUAACCUACCCUUGGGACUGGGAUAACCCCGGGAAACUGGGGAUAAUACCGGAUAGAUCAGGGAUGCUGGAAUGCGCCUUGAUCCAAAGCUCCGGCGCCCAAGGAUGGGUCUGCGGCCUAUCAGGUUGUAGUGGGUGUAACGUACCUACUAGCCGACGACGGGUACGGGUUGUGAGAGCAAGAGCCCGGAGAUGGAUUCUGAGACACGAAUCCAGGCCCUACGGGGUGCAGCAGGCGCGAAACCUUUACAAUGUGCGAAAGCAUGAUAAGGGAACUCCGAGUGCCAGCAUCUAAUGCUGGCUGUCCUUGUGCCUAAAACGCACAAGAUAGCAAGGGCCGGGUAAGACCGGUGCCAGCCGCCGCGGUAACACCGGCGGCCCGAGUGGUAGCCGCUAUUAUUGGGUCUAAAGGGUCCGUAGCCGGUUCGAUAAGUCCUCUGGGAAAUCUGGUUGCUUAACAAUCAGACUGCCAAGGGAUACUGUCGAACUUGAGACCGGGAGAGGUAAGAGGUACUUCAGGGGUAGGAGUGAAAUCUUGUAAUCCCUGGGGGACCAUCUGUGGCGAAGGCGUCUUACCAGAACGGGUCUGACGGUGAGGGACGAAAGCUGGGGGCGCAAACCGGAUUAGAUACCCGGGUAGUCCCAGCCGUAAACGAUGCUCGCUAUGUGUCAGGUACGGUGUGACCGUAUCUGGUGCCGUAGGGAAGCCGUGAAGCGAGCCACCUGGGAAGUACGGUCGCAAGACUGAAACUUAAAGGAAUUGGCGGGGGAGCACUACAACGGGUGGAGCCUGCGGUUUAAUUGGAUUCAACGCC